AAUCAACGCUGGCGGCGUGCCUCAGACAUGCAAGUCGAACGAUUAAGACUCUCUUCGGAGAGGGCAUAAAGUGGCGCACGGGUGAGUAACACGUAAGUAAUCUACCCUCGAGUGGGGAAUAACGUCCGGAAACGGACGCUAAUACCGCAUAAUGCAGCGGCACCGCAAGGUGACAGUUGUUAAAGAUUUAUCGCUUGGGGAGGAGCUUGCGGCAGAUUAGCUAGUUGGAAGGUAAUGGCUUACCAAGGCUACGAUCUGUAACCGGUCUAAGAGGACGGUCGGUCACACUGACACUGAAUAACGGGUCAGACUCCUACGGGAGGCAGCAGUCGGGAAUUUUGGGCAAUGGGCGAAGACCUGACCCAGCAACGCCGCGUGAAGGAUGAAGUAUUUCGGUAUGUAAACUUCGAAAGAA
rnacentral:rRNA from 1 species